rnacentral:rRNA from 1 species
ACGGCUAGUGACAGGAGAUGAAAGUUUCUUUUCCCGCAAGGGACACUAGCCGAGGUGCUGCAUGGCUGUCGUCAGCUCGUGUCGUGAGAUGUUAGGUUAAAUCCCGCAACGAGCGCAACCCCUGCCUUUAGUUGCUAACACGUUAUGGUGAGCACUCUAGAGGGACUGCCGGUGAAAAACCGGAGGAAGGUGGGGAUGACGUCAAGUCCUCAUGGCCUUUAUGUCCAGGGCUACACACGUACUACAAUGGGCGGCACAAUGAGUCGCAAACCCGCAAGGGGGAGCCAAUCUCAAAAAACCGUUCUCAGUUCGGAUUUUCUCCCCACUAGUAGAGCUCCAUGAAGCUGGAAUCGCUAGUAAUCGCU